UACGGAGGGUGCGAGCGUUGUCCGGAAUCACUGGGCGUAAAGGGCGCGUAGGCGGCGCGGGAAGUCAUCGGUGAAAGUUCAGGCUCAACUCUGAAUCGGCCGGUGAUACUCUCGUGCUUGAGCACUGUAGAGGCAGGUGGAAUUCCGGGUGUAGCGGUGGAAUGCGUAGAGAUCCGGAAGAACACCGGUGGCGAAGGCGGCCUGACUGG
rnacentral:rRNA from 1 species